ensembl:lncRNA PABPC1L2B-AS1 PABPC1L2B antisense RNA 1 (head to head)
CUCUUUGGUUCCCCCUGUGGCUGCUGCGGGGCUGCGGGGCUGCGGGGCUGCGGGGCUGCGGGGCUGCGGGGCUGCGGGGCUGCGGGGCUGCGGGGCUGCGGGGCUGCCGGGCUGCGGGCGGUGGGAGAUGACGGGGGUGGGAGCAGGAGCGGGAGCAGGGGCGGGAGCGGGAGCGGGAGUGGGAGUGCUCAGUCUCUCGGGUCGCCUGGAUAUUUAUGAAAAGGACGCCAGGGAAAGGGCUCCGCUGUAGACCGAAGGGAUAAGGGUUCGAUUCAGAAGGGAGCGUUAUUUUUAUCCCCUCUCCACAUAAUGGAACGUUUAAAUGGUUAAAUCAAGUACCUUGCAGGAGAGGGUGGGGUGGCCUUGAGAAUACACUCAAGGCCUCAGUACAUGCAGUCUGGAAGUGGGGGAAUCAAGAGCACCCUGUCUCUAGUACUGUCCUCAAUGAUAAGGCGCUGAGGUUCCCAACCUGGACCAAGAAGUACAUAUUCAGGUUCAAAGGAUAAACCAAAACAAAACCUGAGCUCUCUCUCUAGAAUGAAGUGCCUGGUCCCAGUUCACCAUCUAAUAUUUAUGGAAAGCUUAUCAGAGAACAGAAGUGUCAGCAGAGGACUGUAAGUGCUAUGUGAUUGGACGACGGUGGCCAUAGAAUUUCACCUGCCCAGCACGUAUUCUCUCAUCCUCUCCUCCUCUGCCUUCUUUGGGAGGGAGAAAUCAGAAGGAGUGGGGAUGCAGUUCAGAGAGCAGAGGAGAAGAGAAGAAAAGAAGGAAGAAGGAAGAGGACUAGGGUUGGGUGGGGGGGGAGGACACCAAUGGGAAGAGGGACAGAUCAACUCUAUACACAAAAGUAAAUCAAAACACCAAAAACAGGGGUCUAUGUAAAGAAGCCUCUUCCCGUGAAUUGCUCGUUGCAUAGCUGCAGGGAGGGUGUUUAGGGGCAUAGAGAAUGAAAACAUACCUGUAUUUUGGUGUAGGGAAAUUGUUUCUGUCAAUUCACACCGUCCACACACCACCUCCCACCCCAACCCCGCCACUACCAAAUUCCUCUAAAUAAAAAUAAUUAUGAGAUACAGGCCAACAAAAACGUCAGCGUUAGGCUGUUAUUUAGAGAGAAUUGGAAAGCGUUUGAAUGUGGCCCUGUUGUUUAAUAAACGAUAACAAUGAUUA